UACGAAGGGGGCUAGCGUUGUUCGGAAUUACUGGGCGUAAAGCGUAUGCAGGCGGAUCGUUAAGUCGGGGGUGAAAUCCCGAGGCUCAACCUCGGAACUGCCUUCGAUACUGGCGAUCUUCGAGUCCGGGAGAGGUGAGUGGAACUCCGAGUGUAGAGGUGAAAUUCGUAGAUAUUCGGAAGAACACCAGUGGCGAAGGCGGCUCACUGGCCCGGUACUGACGCUGAUGCGCGAAAGCCAGGGGAGCGAACGGG
rnacentral:rRNA from 1 species